UACGAGUGCCCCAAGCGUUAUCCGGAAUCAUUGGGCGUAAAGGGUGUGUAGGCGGUUGUGCUAGUCUUCUGUUAAAUUCUUCGGCUUAACCGGGGGCAUGCGGAGGAAACGGCACAACUAGAGGAUGCGAGAGGUGAAUGGAACUCAUGGAGUAGGGGUGAAAUCCGUUGAUAUCAUGGGGAACACCAAAUGCGAAGGCAAUUCACUGGCGCACUCCUGACGCUGAGACACGAAAGCGUAGGUAGCGAAUGGG
rnacentral:rRNA from 1 species